UAAACACAAUCGGUGUUCUUCUUGAGCGCUUCUUCUUCGGCAGAAGGAGGUUGAGGUGCGGCAGCUCCCGCCAGUCUCCCACCCUCAAGCUCCCCAGUAAUCAUUAUUAACCAAGAAAAGGGUGGAAGAGAGAGAGAGAGAGAGGGAUCUAGGGUUUAAUUGUUGAGGCGGAUAAUCUCAUGCAGGGUCGCUAUCUUCUUCUUUUAAAGCUGCAACAGAUACAUUUUUAAAGCUGCAACAGAUACAUACAGCCACCCUAAUGGGAACGAUAAUGGACUAUGAUGAGAGAGAGAGGAGAGAGAGCGUGUUGUGUAGGGAGAUGGAGAUCCCCUUUCUCCCCUUCUUCUUUUCCAUUUUUUU
rnacentral:lncRNA from 1 species